rnacentral:rRNA from 1 species
UACGUAGGGCGCAAGCGUUGUCCGGAUUCACUGGGUGUAAAGGGUGCGCAGGCGGGAGUGCAAGUCAGAGGUGAAAUCUCACGGCUCAACCGUGAAACUGCCUUUGAUACUGCAUUUCUUGAGUUAGGGAGAGGUUUGAUGGAAUUCCAGGUGUAGCGGUGAAAUGCGUAGAUAUCUGGAAGAACACCGGUGGCGAAGGCGGUCAACUGGCCCUCAACUGACGCUGAGGCACGAAAGCGUGGGGGAUCAAACAGGGA